rnacentral:rRNA from 1 species
UAUGUGAUCGUCUCUCGCAUAUCAAUAAGCGGAGGAAAAGAAACUAACAAGGAUUCCCCUAGUAACGGCGAGUGAAGCGGGAAGAGCUCAAAUUUGAAAUCUUAAAGGGUUUCCCUUUACGAAUUGUAGUUUAAAGAAGUGUUUUCUGUUGAGGUUUUGGUAAAAGUUCUUUGGAAUAGGACAUCAUAGAGGGUGAGAAUCCCGUAUUUGACCUUUACUUUCAACUUUGUGAUACACUUUCAAAGAGUCGGAUUGUUUGGGAAUGCAGUCCAAAAUGGGUGGUAAAUUUCAUCUAAAGCUAAAUAUUGGCGAGAGACCGAUAGCGAACAAGUACCGUGAGGGAAAGAUGAAAAGAACUUUGAAAAGAGAGUUAAACAGUACGUGAAAUUGUCAAAAGGGAAGCGUUUGACACCAGUGUUGUUUUUCUGAAAAUCAAUUAAAGAACUGUUUAUGCUAAGCUGUUUAGACUUUAUCAGCUAACUGUUUAGUUUUGAGCUUUUCUUUAAUGCACUUUUCAGUUAACAAGUCAACAUCAAUUUCUUUUGCUGUAAAAAAGCUUGAGGAAGGUGGCUUGAGAUUCGUCUUAAGCGUUUAUAGCCUCUUGCCUAUGCAGUCGGAGAGAUUGAGGUCUGCAGCGUAGAUCCUUCGGGGCUAAAUGCAUUUGUGCUAAGUUAUAGCAUUUUAUAGACAACUUGUUGACUAUGAUUUGUCUUGUAGCUUACUCGCUUAUGUUAUUUUACCUACGCUUAGGAUGUUGAUCUACAGAGCGAGAGU